GGCACAAGGUAAUCAAUCAAUAGGUCCCUUUCGUUUGGUUUCUGUGAAAUAUUCUUCCAGUGAUCGAUCACAUCUCAUGAUGAAGUUCUUAAACUUUCAUUCUGUCAGUCCCUAUAUAUACAUACAUCAUGAUGAUGGUUAAACUUCAAUUUGGAGUAAUAAUACUUAUGUUACGUUACCUCAAUAGGCUUUUUUUCAUCGGAGUGGAGGAAGAAUGCGU
rnacentral:misc_RNA from 1 species